rnacentral:rRNA from 1 species
GAUGAACGCUGGCGGCGUGCCUAAUACAUGCAAGUCGAGCGAAGUGGGGCCGGGUGAGUAACACAUGGAGAACCACCUAUAAGACGGGGAUAAAAUUGGGAAAACGGAGCUAAACCGGACACGUAUAGAGGGAUCCGCGAGGCAUUAGCUAGUGGGUAAGGUAACGGCUUACCAAGGCCAUGAUGCAUAUCCGACAGGAGAGGGUGAUCGGCCACACUGGAACUGAGACCCGGUCCAGACUCCUACGGGAUGACGCAGUGGGGAAUCUUCCGCAAUGGACGAAAGCCUGACGGAGCAACGCCGCGUGAGUGAUGAAGGUCUUCGGAUCUUAAACCUCUUUUAUUAGGGAAGCGGUACCUAAUCAGAAAGCCACGGCUAACUCCGUGCCAGCAGCCGCGGUAAUAC